rnacentral:rRNA from 1 species
GGUUAAGUUAGAAAGGGCGCACGGUGGAUGCCUUGGCACUAGGAGCCGAUGAAGGACGGGACGAACACCGAUAUGCUUCGGGGAGCUGUAAGCAAGCUUUGAUCCGGAGAUUUCCGAAUGGGGAAACCCACCACUCGUAAUGGAGUGGUAUCCAUAUCUGAAUACAUAGGAUAUGAGAAGGCAGACCCGGGGAACUGAAACAUCUAAGUACCCGGAGGAAGAGAAAGCAAAUGCGAUUCCCUGAGUAGCGGCGAGCGAAACGGGACCAGCCCAAACCAAGAGGCUUGCCUCUUGGGGUUGUAGGACACUCUGUACGGAGUUACAAAGGAACGAGGUAGAUGAAGAGGUCUGGAAAGGCCCGCCAUAGAAGGUAACAGCCCUGUAGUCAAAACUUCGUUCUCUCCUGAGUGGAUCCUGAGUACGGCGGAACACGUGAAAUUCCGUCGGAAUCCGGGAGGACCAUCUCCCAAGGCUAAAUACUCCCUAGUGACCGAUAGUGAACCAGUACCGUGAGGGAAAGGUGAAAAGCACCCCGGAAGGGGAGUGAAAGAGAUCCUGAAACCGUGUGCCUACAAGUAGUCAGAGCCCGUUAACGGGUGAUGGCGUGCCUUUUGUAGAAUGAACCGGCGAGUUACGAUCCCGUGCAAGGUUAAGCAGAAGAUGCGGAGCCGCAGCGAAAGCGAGUCUGAAUAGGGCGAAUUGAGUACGUGGUCGUAGACCCGAAACCAGGUGAUCUACCCAUGUCCAGGGUGAAGUUCAGGUAACACUGAAUGGAGGCCCGAACCCACGCACGUUGAAAAGUGCGGGGAUGAGGUGUGGGUAGGGGUGAAAUGCCAAUCGAACCUGGAGAUAGCUGGUUCUCUCCGAAAUAGCUUUAGGGCUAGCCUCAAGGUAAGAGUCUCGGAGGUAAGAGUCUCACUGAUUGGACUAGGGGCCCCUACCGGGUUACCGAAUUCAGUCAAACUCCGAAUGCCGAUGACUUAUCCUUGGGAGUCAGACUGCGAGUGAUAAGAUCCGUAGUCGAAAGGGAAACAGCCCAGACCGCCAGCUAAGGUCCCAAAGUAUACGUUAAGUGGAAAAGGAUGUGGAGUUGCUUAGACAACCAGGAUGUUGGCUUAGAAGCAGCCACCAUUUAAAGAGUGCGUAAUAGCUCACUGGUCGAGUGACUCUGCGCCGAAAAUGUACCGGGGCUAAACGUAUCACCGAAGCUGCGGACUGUUCUUCGAACAGUGGUAGGAGAGCGUUCUAAGGGCUGUGAAGCAAGACCGGAAGGACUUGUGGAGCGCUUAGAAGUGAGAAUGCCGGUAUGAGUAGCGAAAGAGGGGUGAGAAUCCCCUCCACCGAAUGCCUAAGGUUUCCUGAGGAAGGCUCGUCCGCUCAGGGUUAGUCGGGACCUAAGCCGAGGCCGAAAGGCGUAGGCGAUGGAUAACAGGUUGAUAUUCCUGUACCACCUCCUCACCAUUUGAGCAAUGGGGGGACGCAGGAGGAUAGGGUAAGCGCGGUAUUGGAUAUCCGCGUCCAAGCAGUUAGGCUGGGAAAUAGGCAAAUCCGUUUCCCGUGAAGGCUGAGCUGUGAUGGCGAGCGAAUUAUAGUAGCGAAGUUCCUGAUUCCACACUGCCAAGAAAAGCCUCUAGCGAGGUGAGAGGUGCCCGUACCGCAAACCGACACAGGUAGGCGAGGAGAGAAUCCUAAGGUGAUCGAGAGAACUCUCGUUAAGGAACUCGGCAAAAUGACCCCGUAACUUCGGGAGAAGGGGUGCUCUGUUAGGGUGCAAGCCCGAGAGAGCCGCAGUGAAUAGGCCCAGGCGACUGUUUAGCAAAAACACAGGUCUCUGCGAAGCCGUAAGGCGAAGUAUAGGGGCUGACGCCUGCCCGGUGCUGGAAGGUUAAGAGGAGCGCUUAGCGUAAGCGAAGGUGCGAAUUGAAGCCCCAGUAAACGGCGGCCGUAACUAUAACGGUCCUAAGGUAGCGAAAUUCCUUGUCGGGUAAGUUCCGACCCGCACGAAAGGCGCAACGAUCUGGGCACUGUCUCAACGAGAGACUCGGUGAAAUUAUAGUACCUGUGAAGAUGCAGGUUACCCGCGACAGGACGGAAAGACCCCGUGGAGCUUUACUGCAGCCUGAUAUUGAAUGUUGGUACAGCUUGUACAGGAUAGGUAGGAGCCUUGGAAACCGGAGCGCCAGCUUCGGUGGAGGCAUCGGUGGGAUACUACCCUGGCUGUAUUGACCUUCUAACCCGCCGCCCUUAUCGGGCGGGGAGACAGUGUCAGGUGGGCAGUUUGACUGGGGCGGUCGCCUCCUAAAAGGUAACGGAGGCGCCCAAAGGUUCCCUCAGAAUGGUUGGAAAUCAUUCGCAGAGUGUAAAGGCACAAGGGAGCUUGACUGCGAGACCUACAAGUCGAGCAGGGACGAAAGUCGGGCUUAGUGAUCCGGUGGUUCCGCAUGGAAGGGCCAUCGCUCAACGGAUAAAAGCUACCCCGGGGAUAACAGGCUUAUCUCCCCCAAGAGUCCACAUCGACGGGGAGGUUUGGCACCUCGAUGUCGGCUCAUCGCAUCCUGGGGCUGUAGUCGGUCCCAAGGGUUGGGCUGUUCGCCCAUUAAAGCGGUACGCGAGCUGGGUUCAGAACGUCGUGAGACAGUUCGGUCCCUAUCCGUCGCGGGCGCAGGAAAUUUGAGAGGAGCUGUCCUUAGUACGAGAGGACCGGGAUGGACGCACCGCUGGUGUACCAGUUGUUCUGCCAAGGGCAUCGCUGGGUAGCUAUGUGCGGACGGGAUAAGUGCUGAAAGCAUCUAAGCAUGAAGCCCCCCUCAAGAUGAGAUUUCCCAUUCCGCAAGGAAGUAAGAUCCCUGAAAGAUGAUCAGGUUGAUAGGUCUGAGGUGGAAGUGUGGCGACACAUGGAGCUGACAGAUACUAAUCGAUCGAGGACUUAACCAA